UACGUAGGGUGCAAGCGUUAAUCGGAAUUACUGGGCGUAAAGGGCGCGUAGGCGGCCUGUUAAGUCGAACGUGAAAUCCCCGGGCUCAACCCGGGAACUGCGUCCGAUACUGGCAGGCUGGAGUAUGGUAGAGGAAGGUGGAAUUCCCGGUGUAGCAGUGAAAUGCGUAGAGAUCGGGAGGAACACCAGUGGCGAAGGCGGCCUUCUGGACCAAUACUGACGCUCAUGCACGAAAGCGUGGGGAGCAAACAGG
rnacentral:rRNA from 1 species